GAGGGAGUAACUUAGUUGCUAGAGUGCGACCUUGCCAAGGUCGAUGUCUCGGGUUCGAGUCCCGUCUCCCACUCCA
rnacentral:tRNA from 1 species